rnacentral:rRNA from 2 species
GUUUGAUCCUGGCUCAGGACGAACGCUGGCGGCGUGCCUAAUACAUGCAAGUCGAACGAACUCUGGUAUUGAUUGGUGCUUGCAUCAUGAUUUACAUUUGAGUGAGUGGCGAACUGGUGAGUAACACGUGGGAAACCUGCCCAGAAGCGGGGGAUAACACCUGGAAACAGAUGCUAAUACCGCAUAACAACUUGGACCGCAUGGUCCGAGUUUGAAAGAUGGCUUCGGCUAUCACUUCUGGAUGGUCCCGCGGCGUAUUAGCUAGAUGGUGAGGUAACGGCUCACCAUGGCAAUGAUACGUAGCCGACCUGAGAGGGUAAUCGGCCACAUUGGGACUGAGACACGGCCCAAACUCCUACGGGAGGCAGCAGUAGGGAAUCUUCCACAAUGGACGAAAGUCUGAUGGAGCAACGCCGCGUGAGUGAAGAAGGGUUUCGGCUCGUAAAACUCUGUUGUUAAAGAAGAACAUAUCUGAGAGUAACUGUUCAGGUAUUGACGGUAUUUAACCAGAAAGCCACGGCUAACUACGUGCCAGCAGCCGCGGUAAUACGUAGGUGGCAAGCGUUGUCCGGAUUUAUUGGGCGUAAAGCGAGCGCAGGCGGUUUUUUAAGUCUGAUGUGAAAGCCUUCGGCUCAACCGAAGAAGUGCAUCGGAAACUGGGAAACUUGAGUGCAGAAGAGGACAGUGGAACUCCAUGUGUAGCGGUGAAAUGCGUAGAUAUAUGGAAGAACACCAGUGGCGAAGGCGGCUGUCUGGUCUGUAACUGACGCUGAGGCUCGAAAGUAUGGGUAGCAAACAGGAUUAGAUACCCUGGUAGUCCAUACCGUAAACGAUGAAUGCUAAGUGUUGGAGGGUUUCCGCCCUUCAGUGCUGCAGCUAACGCAUUAAGCAUUCCGCCUGGGGAGUACGGCCGCAAGGCUGAAACUCAAAGGAAUUGACGGGGGCCCGCACAAGCGGUGGAGCAUGUGGUUUAAUUCGAAGCUACGCGAAGAACCUUACCAGGUCUUGACAUACUAUGCAAAUCUAAGAGAUUAGACGUUCCCUUCGGGGACAUGGAUACAGGUGGUGCAUGGUUGUCGUCAGCUCGUGUCGUGAGAUGUUGGGUUAAGUCCCGCAACGAGCGCAACCCUUAUUAUCAGUUGCCAGCAUUAAGUUGGGCACUCUGGUGAGACUGCCGGUGACAAACCGGAGGAAGGUGGGGAUGACGUCAAAUCAUCAUGCCCCUUAUGACCUGGGCUACACACGUGCUACAAUGGAUGGUACAACGAGUUGCGAACUCGCGAGAGUAAGCUAAUCUCUUAAAGCCAUUCUCAGUUCGGAUUGUAGGCUGCAACUCGCCUACAUGAAGUCGGAAUCGCUAGUAAUCGCGGAUCAGCAUGCCGCGGUGAAUACGUUCCC